rnacentral:rRNA from 1 species
UGGGGAAUAUUGGACAAUGGGCGCAAGCCUGAUCCAGCCAUGCCGCGUGGGUGAUGAAGGCCCUAGGGUUGUAAAGCCCUUUCAGCGGGGAAGAUAAUGACGGUACCCGCAGAAGAAGCCCCGGCUAACUUCGUGCCAGCAGCCGCGGUAAUACGAAGGGGGCUAGCGUUGCUCGGAAUUACUGGGCGUAAAGCGCACGUAGGCGGCUUUCUAAGUCGGGGGUGAAAUCCUGGAGCUCAACUCCAGAACUGCCUUCGAUACUGGAAAGCUCGAGUCCGGGAGAGGUGAGUGGAACUGCGAGUGUAGAGGUGAAAUUCGUAGAUAUUAGGAAGAACACCAGUGGCGAAGGCGGCUCACUGGUCCGGUACUGACGCUGAGGUGCGAAAGCGUGGGGAGCAAACA